AGGACGCCCUCUACGCCUCCACCAGGCCCAGGAGCUGGUAUCAGGCACACAUCCUUGCCCAUGACACCUAGUCCCACCACACCCCCAAGGGUACUCAGCAGUGAUAAACAUUGUUCAUAAGCGCCAGCUUGACUCAGUUAAGGAGAAGAGGGUCGGCCAAUCUGCGUGCCAGCCGCCGCGGCUAGACCAGUUGACCCAAAUUGAUGGCCCCCGGCGUUAAGCGUGAUUAAAGCCCCCCCCACUAAUUAGAGUGUUACUUAUGUUAAGCUGUGAAAAGCGCCCACAACAAAGACCCACAAAAUCGAAAGUUACUCUAAUCUCGCUUGAAUACACGACAGUCAGAAAACAAACUGGGAUUAGAUACCCCACUAUGUCUGACCGUAAAUCUACUUACACCCAAACCGCCAGGGAACUACGAGCUUUAGCUUAAAACCCAAAGGACUUGACGGUGUCCCACCCAACUAGAGGAGCCUGUUCUAUAACCGAUAACCCCCGUUCUACCUAACCCCCCUUUGCCUUUUCAGCCUGUAUACCUCCGUCGCAAGUCCGCCAUAUGAAUGCCCUUCAGCGGAUUAAAGGAUUUUUUAUCAAUACGUCAGGUCAAGGUGCAGCCUAUAGGGUGGCAAGCAAUGGGCUACAAUUUCUAACCUAGAACAUACGAAAUACUGCAUGAAACACAGUCACGAAGGAGGAUUUAGUAGUAAAAAGAAAACAGCGUGUUCUUUUUAACGCGGCCCUGGGACGUGUACACACCGCCCGUCACCCUCUUCGAUAAUACU
rnacentral:rRNA from 1 species